UGUGAAAAUGUUGAAAAUCAGCUUUAUGAUGAAGUCAUUAAGACAUGACCUUUAAUGGAUGUCCAUAUGUUUUAUUGGCUUAUCAAAAAUUAUGUCCACCCAUAAUGCAUGCAGGAAGGUGGCCAAAGUCAGAAUACUUCAGUCAUCUCAGAAUGUCCUGUUUUUAUUCAAGUUUUUAAAAGUAGAAGAAAGAGGAAGUUCCCUUUUGUCAGUGAAGAACUGAGAACAACCGUGU
rnacentral:lncRNA from 1 species